ensembl:lncRNA LINC02361 long intergenic non-protein coding RNA 2361
GGCGAAGAGGCCCCCGCGGCCGGCCGAGCUCCGUGGACUCCGCAGGAGCGGCCCCGCCCCUCACACUACGCCGGGCGGUUCCCUCCGAGCCCCGCCGGGACAGCGUCGACGCUGCACACACCCCAGAGAAGCCAGAGGACGGCGCCUGCACCGGACACAGCGCAACACCGGCACAGCACAGCGUCCACACCACAAGUGAGCCUAGGCAGCUGUGUCUACACUGCAGACGCCGGCCUGAGCGCACGCGUCUUCAUGCAGGCUCAGCAGAGGGGGAAGAACACCUCCCCGAGGGUGGAAGAGCUGUGGCCAGCAGACAGAUGGACGGACAGACGGACACAGGCGAACAGGCAGCGCAGGGGUGAGCCGAGCCGGUCAAAUGGGCCAGGACCCGGCUCCGUGUGCCCUUCACAGUCAGGAUGACAGAACCCCGUGGAAUAUGAAAAAUGCCGGGAGACAGACCCCGGAGGCACAGCCCCUCACCGGGCAGGGAGGCCGCCAGAGGGAAGCGCAGCUCCAGACCACCAGAGCCCCAUCUGAUUAAGGCAUCGAGAUCAAAGCUCAGCAGAGGGCGGCUCAUGAUGGGCAGCUCAAAAAAAUAAACCCACCAAUCAGAGUCCGUGUUCCUGUGACCGGUGGCGGGUUCGGAUGCAGAGGAGGCUUCUCAGUGCGGUUCCUCCUCAUCUCGGAACCUGCCACCCCACUCAAGCCCGACAUAGGCCAGGACAGCCAGGACGGCCGCAGCGAGGGCAACACGAGGCCCGUCGACAUCCUGAGGCCCCCGGGCCUGUCGCCGAGUCCCGGCUUGGGGAGUGUCCCCGGGCCACACUGGUCCUGCUCCCGGCUGUGUGGUCUCCCAGGCGCGUGGCUCCUCCCUCCGGGGCCCAGGCUCUGGUGUGAGCCACUUUUUCCAUAGGAGACGCCCAUACUUGCAGCUCACGCCUUUGUCUGGUGCCCUGGCCUCACACCUAUAGGAAUUGGGUACCUGGGGGCCUCUUCAUCUUUACUUGUCUCAGCUUAGAGAAGCCCAGCUACACUUCCUCCAUGCCUGGAUUCAUGCACGGCCCCACAGGGUGAGGCCUGGACACCCUCACGGGCACUGGGGCUCCACGGAUGCAGAAGGCAGCCUGGCCCGGUAGCUCGGGGGUCUGAGAUGGAGGUGGAGUAAGACAGAGUGACAAAGGCUGCGUCCUGGAGGCAGGCUCGGAGCCUCCCUGAGCUCAGAGAGCCCGCGUGCGCCAGGAAGCCACACCUGCAGGACCCGAGUCGGAACUCAGAGGCUGGUACAGCCGCGGUGCUUGUCCUGUAGAUAAGAAUGGCCUCCUCUGGCGGCCAAAGUUAAUUAAACUGACAAUCUUGAUAAGUUGCACAGUUACCUGCUCGGGGACAAAGAAGAUGGGAGCCUUGUUUGUGGUUUCUUCUUGUUCUUUCCUGUGCCCCACAGUCAUUUUAAAAUUAAAUUAAAUGGCUUAUCUGCACUAACCCAA